rnacentral:rRNA from 1 species
AGAGGGUGCAAGCGUUAAUCGGAAUCACUGGGCGUAAAGCGCGCGUAGGUGGAAAAUUAAGUUGGAUGUGAAAUCCCCGGGCUUAACCUGGGAAGGUCAUCCAAGACUGGUUUUCUAGAGUACAGUAGAGGGAAGUGGAAUUUCCGGUGUAGCGGUGAAAUGCGUAGAUAUCGGAAGGAACACCAGUGGCGAAGGCGGCUUCCUGGACUGAUACUGACACUGAGGCGCGAAAGCGUGGGUAGCGAACAGGGGUUAGAUACCCUGGUAGUCCACGCUGUAAACGAUGAGAACUAGCCCGUUGGAAGACAUGCUCUUUCAGUGGCGCAGCUAACGCAGUAAGUUCUCCGCCUGGGGAGUACGGCCGCAAGGUUA